rnacentral:ribozyme from 1 species
GAUACCGAUUUUUCCCGUUCAUUUUUUUCUUGUUCGGUUCCUCCUUGUAGCUCCUCAAAUUUUUGAACUUUUUCAGGAGAUGUAAUAACAUGACGAGCGCGUGACACUUCAUGAACAGAAAUGA